AUCCUAAGAACUAAAUGACGUAAUCCAUAUAAAGCAGCAGCAGCUUGGUUUUUGGAGCAAACAUCCAGCACAGGGUCCCUGGAACAGAUUAGGUGUUUAAUAAGUAGGAGUUGAGUUGAUCUGGACCAUUGCUGAGUCACUUCGGGAAUCCUACAGCAGCUUGAGGCCACCUCCAAAAUACCAAACAGGAUCCCCAACAGCAGAUGUCCCUAAAUAUGGUGAUGAAGAGAUAUCCACAAAAGCAACCACAUAAGGAUGUUCAAGCUGUUCACAAGCCAUCCGUCCAUGGAAUCAUCUGUCUGUAAAUCACGCUGCUCAGAGAAAUAGGAUCAUCAUUCCAGACAGUAGUUAUGCUUGCCAGAGCACAUUCAGGAGUUGGUCACAUGAACACUCUGGCUGGAAGCCAUGGCUAGGGCCUAAAUUAGCUCUGAUACUGGAAAGGGAACUUAGCCCAUGCCUGGAUAUUGGGCAAACAAAGGCAAAAACACCUGCUUACCCAUGAGAAUGAAGCAAGCAGCUGUAGUUAAUAAGCCCUAUACAUUAUAGGUGUAUAUAAA